UCGAGCGCGGGAAGCAGGCAGAUCCUCUUCGGAGGUGACGCCUGUGGAACGAGCGGCGGACGGGUGAGUAACACGUGGGCAACCUGCCUGUAAGAUUGGGAUAACCCCGGGAAACCGGGGCUAAUACCGGAUAAUACUUUUCGUUGCAUAACGAGAAGUUGAAAGGCGGCUUUUAGCUGUCACUUACAGAUGGGCCCGCGGCGCAUUAGCUAGUUGGUAAGGUAACGGCUUACCAAGGCGACGAUGCGUAGCCGACCUGAGAGGGUGAUCGGCCACACUGGGACUGAGACACGGCCCAGACUCCUACGGGAGGCAGCAGUAGGGAAUCUUCCGCAAUGGACGAAAGUCUGACGGAGCAACGCCGCGUGAGUGAUGAAGGUUUUCGGAUCGUAAAACUCUGUUGUCAGGGAAGAACAAGUGCCGUUCAAAUAGGGCGGCACCUUGACGGUACCUGACCAGAAAGCCCCGGCUAACUACGUGCCAGCAGCCGCGGUAAUACGUAGGGGGCAAGCGUUGUCCGGAAUUAUUGGGCGUAAAGCGCGCGCAGGCGGUCCUUUAAGUCUGAUGUGAAAGCCCACGGCUUAACCGUGGAGGGCCAUUGGACACUGGAGGACUUGAGUACAGAAGAGGAGAGUGGAAUUCCACGUGUAGCGGUGAAAUGCGUAGAGAUGUGGAGGAACACCAGUGGCGAAAGCGACUCUCUGGUCUGUAACUGACGCUGAGGUGCGAAAGCGUGGGGAGCGAACAGGAUUAGAUACCCUGGUAGUCCACGCCGUAAACGAUGAGUGCUAGG
rnacentral:rRNA from 1 species